rnacentral:rRNA from 1 species
CGUAACACGUGUGCAACCUGCCUUUAUCUGGAGAAUAGCCUUUCGAAAGGAAGAUUAAUGCUCCAUAACAUAUUGAAUGGCAUCAUUUAAUAUUGAAAGCUCCGGCGGAUAGAGAUGGGCACGCGCAAGAUUAGUUAGUUGGUGAGGUAACGGCUCACCAAGGCGAUGAUCUUUAGGGGGCCUGAGAGGGUGAUCCCCCACACUGGUACUGAGACACGGACCAG